AUCACCUGCGGACCGGAGGGCGAGCCCGCGCUGGGGGAGGAGCCGCGGAACCCCUGCGGUCCCACGGCCUCCCGCCCUGGACACCCGCAGCCCGAGGGCGCGAGCACCGGGGGAAAGCAGGCACAGACUUCUCUCAGCCGUUACAAUCUUAAGAACGUCAGUGCUGGAAAGUGACAGUAACACAGCUCAGCGCUCCAGCCUUGAGCCGUGGCGUCGAACCAUGGAGCCAACUCACUUUAGAAAAGAGAAUUUCCUGAUUUCCAGCCCUGGGUCCUUUCCCAGAUCAAGAUGACUGCACAGGAAGAAUCCUCACACCCCCGUUUUUACAAGGUGCAAGGCCAAAAAUGGCAGAAUGACCUCCCUAGACACUGGCGCGAGGGUACCCACCAGAAAUCUGUGCCAUCACUCAUUUCACACAAGUUCACUUUACCCAAGGAACCUUUUUCACUGAUUGACAGGUUUAUUUACAGACUCGGGCAAGAAACUUGAAGCUAAAAUGUCUACGGCUGCUUCUCACUGAAUAUACCCCAGAAAGGAAGAGAAAAGGCUUCUACUGAAAGUAAGGAAAUUCGAACCACGGAAAAUUCAAAUCAUACCAAACCUUGUACGGAGAGGCUAAAUUCAGUUCAAGGCGUUUACAUUCCUUUUUUUCUUUUUCUUUUUUUUCUUUUUAGGGUCGCACC